ensembl:lncRNA
UGUGUUUAUUGGUGACGCACGUACACCCUGGUGCAAGGGGGAUCGCUCCACCUAACUUGCACACCAUCAGGAGAAAUCGUGCUAUAGAUAUAGAUCGAACUAAUACAUAAUCAAUAGUUGACAGGAAUUCGGAUACAUAUUCAUUACAUUCCCGAGAGCCCAUUAGCAUGCAGUCCCUCCCCCCCCUUGCGCGUGCGUAGUAGGUCAUGAUGAUGAAGGCUCAUAGUCUUCCUCGCGAAGGCUCGUAGCCUUCCUUGCUGCAAACUUCUGCCCCCAAAGGGGGGGCAUCUCCUGAACCGGUUUCAACUUGCCCUGUAGAUAUCUAAUCACCUCCCUGCCAAAUGUUUUUGAGCUGCUCUCCAGUCCUUAUCUUUAUGGCCUUCAUCCUCCUUGAUAUUCCAGACCUAGUGUCUGUGAAAGUGCUUGGAAUCCCUUGUUUUCUAACACUCCUUACAUAAACUAUCUCUAUUUGCUCCUUAUUUCUACUUUGUGAAGCUACUUUCCCUUUUCUUGCUCUGAGGCCCUUCUCUCUAUAACUGCAGGGUCCUGUUCUCACUCUUCACAACCCUGAUGUAUUCUCCCCAUGGCUAAAUUUUGAGAUCUUUAUUAUAACAGCUCUUUUUUUUUGUGCCACAGAAGGAUCUUUUUCUUCACUGUGUUCAUACAUCUACUCUUUGGACAAUUUAUCAAAGUAUAUAUUUUCUGUUAACCUGUUCAUUCAUCUUAGAAAUUUUCUUAUAUCUAUCUAAUUUUCUUUUAAGUAGCUUUAAUACAGAGUAUCUGGAGGAUGUUUUUCAUUUGUAAUUCAGCAAAAUCUUAAUGCAUUCUCUGCCAUGCAUAUUUUUACUACUCUUCAGAAGCCCCAGAAAUCCAGGUCAUAGCAAUAUAUGUAUAGUGAAAGUGUGUACAUAUGCACAUUUUAUACUUUCUUAGCAACUUCUUACUAGUAUGUCUCUAAUUAUAGAAUUUUUUUUUUUUUUUUUUUUUUUUUUUUUUUUUUUUUUGCUAUGGGUUCUUGUCUGUCUGUUUUUUAUUUGAUUCCUUUUCAUGUUACAAGGAUUGUUCAGUUGCAUCCUGUGGGAUAGGAAAACAGUUUCUGAUGACAGUGUUCCAAAACCAAUAAAGUAUCAGCUUAGUACUCCUAUUUCUUAUCCUAGUAUUUGUAUCUAUACAUAAAAUGACUAGUGACCAUAUUUUCAUUCACCAAAAACAUACAAGCAAAACAGAAAAACAGAGGAAAGUAUACUACAGUAAACAUAUUCAAGGUCCAAGAAUUUGCCACAAACAAAGAAAAAAUCUCAGAUCUCUUAUCUCCUUUUUCUUAUCUUAAUUACACAAAUACAUGACUUGUAUAUUGCUGGUCAUCAAGGAGUGCAUAGAAUCAUAGAAUCGCUUGGGUUGGAAGGGACCUCAAGGAUCAUCAAGCUUCAGCCCACCUGCCACAUGCAGGGCCACCAACCUACAUAUCCAAUACUAGACCAGGCUGCUCAGGGCCCCAUCCAGCCUGGCCCUUAACACCUCCAGGGAUGGGGCAUCCACAACCUCUCUGGGCAGCCUGUCUCAUAUUGCUUUGAGAAGAGUGAGGCAAUUUGAGUGCAUGCAGGAGUACCAAACAUAUUGAUGUCAUCCUGACUAUCCCAUUUCCCUUUAAUCCAGAAAGUGAUGGGAAUGUUCCAGGAUUUUUUUACAAAUGUUAUUCCUUAAAUAUAAUCCAAAUGUUUGUUAUCAUAAUGCCAUAACACUUCAUGCAGUAUAUAUCAUACUUAGUCUGGAGAAAAGCAGGCUGAGGGGAAAUCUCAUAACUCUUCCUGCCUGAAAGGUAGGAAGGAGAGUGCUGGUCUUUUUUCUUGGAUGUUAAGUGGUAGAACACAAUGAAAUAGCCUCAAGUUGUGCCAAGGGGGAUUUAGAUUGGAUAUUAAGAAGAAUCUCUUCACAGAAAUGGUGAUAAAGCAUUGGAACAGGUUGCUUAGAGAAGUGGUAGAGUUGCAUCCCUGGUAGUAUUUAAGAGAUGUGAAUUUGGCUCUUAGGGACAAAUUUUUAGUGGCAGAUUUGGUAGUAUUAGGUUGAUGGUUGGACUUGAUUUUAAAGACCUUUUCCAGACUAAUUGAUUAUGUGAUUCUAUGAUUCCAUGAAAAGGAAUGAAUAAUUCCCUCUGUGUCUUCUAGUUCUAGCUUUCUUCAUUUGGGGAGAAACACACAGCAUAUAUUGAUUAUAGAUAUUGUUCCUAGUGCAGUUGGUAAGAUAAAUUAGUGCUAAAUACAUUGUUGAUAUGGAUUCAAUUCUCCAGUUUUCGACUGGGUUACUUACUUGAGAGAAAAAUCUCAGUAAACAGAACUGUUUUCUUGUUUGGGUUCACCUCACUGCUAAAUCUUGAGGCUUUGUAAAGUGUAAUGAACUGUUAAUUUGCAGACUAUAAUGGAUUUACUUUGUUUCCUAUAGCUCACAAUAAGGCAGAGAAAGUUGCACGUUAAUCACAUAACUGUUACUUUACUAAUGCUUUUUUCCCCGUAUUUUAAAUGUGGAAGUAUUUUGCAAUGACUACAGCUAUUAAAAAAAAAAAAGAAAAAAAAAAAAAGAAAUUAUCAUAAAAUAGGAACAGAUCAAGUUUAUAUCCAAUUUAUUACUAUUUUAUCCUGAGGGACUGAGAUUUUAGUCUACAUUAAAAAUGUUUUAAAUAUUGUGUAGAGGGAAAAGUAUUUAAGGUCCCAGUUCACCAAUCCGUCCCUUUCAGCAAAACACUAAAAAACAUUUGAUUCCUAUUAACUUUAAUGGGUUUAAGCAUGUUUAAAUUUAAUGGACCUAAAGUUGUAACAAAUCAGUGGAUCUAAGGCAGUUUUUUUCUUCUGCAUCUAUUCUUGCCAGACAGAAUCCUGAGCAGUUCACAUAACAGUAAGUUCUAAAAGUCCUCAUGGGGCAAUGUGAGCUUUGUAACUCCUAUCAAUUAUUAUUAUUAUUUUAAUUUAAGGUAGCAGACAGACUUUCUAUUCUAGCUUUUUGGACUGAGAUGAGGCUUUUGGGAGUGAACAAGAUGAAUUAUCCAGUGAAUCCAUCUUGCAUUACUUUGAAUGGAACUUAUUGUCUGAAUGAAGGAAUAUCUCUUCUAUGCCACGUGGAUGAUCAAAAUAUUCUUUUUCCAUAAAGGUCUAAAAAUGCUCGGGUUUCAGGCUGAAAUUUGGUGCUUUCUGAGACAUAAAAGGUCAAAAUUUUAGUUAUAAUUUCUUUCAAUAGCAUCAACAUAACAAGAGGCUUUAAAGUGCAACAGUGAUUCUGGUCUGGCCUUAGAUCUAACAGAAGUUACAGAAAACAUUUUUCCACUUUUAGGUUGGUCGUUUUUUUGUUGGUGGUGGUGGAUGUUUUUUUUUUUUUUUUGGUUGGUUGGUUUUGUUUGUUUGUUUUUGCUUUUGCUUUUUGUUUUUGUUUUCCUUCUGUCAUGGUUUUAUGAUUUUUGUUAUUGGUAUUCCACAUCAUAACAUCAUGUAAAGCACUGGGAGUUAAAGAGUUAAUGCCUCACUUCAGUGGACUGCUGAUUUUCCAGAUACCUGGUUCUUAGAAAAGAACUACAUACCCAAAGGACUUUGCAUCCAGAAGGAAAGAUAGAACUCCUGGCAAGUCAUGAGACUGGUCUCUUUCUCUUUCUCAUUGCCUGGCAGUGUGUGUGCUCCCCAGCCAUUUUGCCUUCAAUUCAGAUGCCCAAAACUUCAUUCUGUACUUGAGAUGAAACUGCACGAGCACACCUUUAGACUGACCUGUCAGCCAGUUGUAUUAUGUUGGAUUGCCGAGGUUAGCUGCCUCGGAGCUGUCCCAGCCAGAACCACAGCAACUGAUCAUGAGGGAGAGGUGUGUUGCCUGCCUGGUGCCCAGGUGAGAGAUGGUGCUAGGAACAUCAGUCACCUCGUUAAGCCCUCCGAUUAUUAUUAUCCAUUACUGGUUUUUCACAUUGGAAAUAAAGAGGCACCAAAGUAAAAUUGAAAUACCUAAAGCUCUUUGAAGAAAAGCAGAAUUUCUUAUCAGUAUUUGUUUAUACCUGGGAAGAAAAGGAAAGCUAUUUGUCACCCAGUAUUCAAGAUGACUCUUACUGCCUUAAAUUAAAUAAGUAUAUGAAAAUAUUAUUAAAUUAAUGUGUAGUUAAUUUUGCUUGGCUGAUUUUAAGGAAGUAAUCCUUGGUACCCAAAACUAUGAAGAUCUUCUGUUCUCAGCAGGAAAGCAGUUACUUUUCAUGCAUAUGCAAAGCACAGCAUAACAAAAGACCUCAUGAUCCCAUAACAACUUAUCCCGUAUGAAUAAACAUUAUUAAGCUGUAAUCUUUACUACAUGUUGUUCUUUAACAUGCUUUUGUUUUAGACUGCCUUAGAAGAUAAUGUUCUCUCAUUUGUUAGGCUAGAAUUCAGACACCUUAAGUAAUUUUUUAAUUUUCUUUUUAUUUUUUCCCUCCUUUUUUUUUUUUUUUUUCCCAUUUACAGAUUUGUCUGCUUGCAAGUUUAUGCCUUCAUCAGUUCCAUAUUUUCUGCUUACACAGAUACAUUUGAAUGUGGAAAAUUUAGACCUGCCAUUUUUUAUUUCAGAGAGAAUAGUUUAGGGGAAUGACAAUGCAAUAAAAGGUAAUGGACAGGUGAGAGAUGGAAGAACUGUCACAUUGACAGUAAUUUUAGUCUUUUCUCUCAGGCUUAUUUGCUUCUCAUGAUGCAUAACUGCAGGAGUUAUGUAAAUAUUUUAAUCAGGUAACAAAUACUGAUUGAAUUACAUAGUGGGACUGAUAUAAUGGGACUUAAGCUGGAUUUGUGGUGAUUUUUCUGGUGAUUAUUUUCUACAUAUUCAUCAGUGUCUUUAAAUCUAAAGUAUCUUUCAAAAAAUUUUAAAGCUUUUAAAGAACCUGAAAAUGCUUGCAAAACACCUGGGAGAAAUAAUGAUUUAUUCCACUGAAUUUUUGCAGUGUUUUAUAGUGUUUCAUUCCAUAAGAUUAGAAUAGACAUCUACUCCAAAUUUAGGAGAUGUCUUUUUACAAGAAUGAUAAAAACCAUGCCUACAAACCCAGGCCUUGUAUUCCCGGAAGCUUAUCUCAGAACAUAAACACCAGUAACAAACUGCUUGUCAAUAUUGUACAAAGAAGAAAUAGAAAGGUAUAACUGUACCAGUGCAUAAGUUGAUGGUAUAACUGCACCAAUGGGCAAGGGAAAAGCCAUUGAUAUAAUUUAUUUGGACUAUUGUAAGGCCUUCAAUGGGGUCCUACAAAUCAUCCUUCUCUCCAAAUUGGAAAGAUAUGGAUUUAAUAUGUGGACUGUUCAAUAAACGAGGAAUUGGUUUGAAGAUUGUACCCAGAGAAUGAUGGUCAGUAGCUCAAUGUCUAGAUGGAGAUUGGUGGUGAGUGGUCUCUCUCAGGAAUCAUUACUGUGACUGAUGCUCUUUAUUGUCUUCAUCAGUUACGUUGACAGUAAGAUCGAAUACAUCCUCAGCAAGUUUGCAUGCGACACCAAGCUGUGUGGUGCAAUAGACACAGAUCAGGACAGGAUGACAUCCAGAGAGGCCUAGACAGGCUCAAUCAGUGGGUCCAGAAGAACAUCAUGAGGUUCAACAAAGCCAAGUGCAGGGUCUUGUACCUGGGUCAUGGCACCCCCUGCUAUCAAUACAAGCUACAGGAUGUAAAGGUGGAGGUCAGCCCUGCCAAUAAAGCCCUGGUGAUAAUGGAUAAUGUGCUGGAUAUGAGCCAGCAAUGUACCCUCACAGCCCAGGCAGUCAAUCAUAUCCUGGGUUGCAUCAAACAGACAAGUGAGUUGAACUUGCUCCUAUACUGUGCAAUAGUGAGACCUCACCUGGAGUACUGUGUCCUGAUGUGAAGCCCGCAGUACAGGAGAGACAUGGACCUGCUGGAGCACAAUUUCAUUCAUAAUUUCCUUCUUGAUCUAUAGAAAUGAAAGUCAACUAUUCUUUCACAUUCUGUGAAACUGAUGGAAAGAACAGUCUACCCCAUUCUUCUGUAGUUUACUUUUUUUGGUACACAUCACUUAUUUUAAGGAGACUCCAAAGAACAAUUUUGUAAUUUUAUUACCAGAACAUUUUUGUAACAGUUGAUGGAGUACUAGAAGUUAUUGUGUUGCUGAUGCUGAUAUAUAUAUAUUUUUUUUCAAUAACAUUUUUCAAAUGCAUUUCCUUCGGUAAUUUUACUAAGCAAUUUUUUAAAAUUCAC